UGAGGAAUAUUGCACAAUGGGGGAAACCCUGAUGCAGCGACGCCGCGUGGGUGAUGAAGGUUUUCGGAUCGUAAAGCCCUUUUCUGCAUGACGAGGACAGGACGGUAGUGCAGGAAUAAGUGUCGGCUAACUACGUGCCAGCAGCCGCGGUAAAACGUAGGACACAAGCGUUAUCCGGAAUUACUGGGCGUAAAGGGCGUGCAGGCGGUUUCGUAAGUUAGGCGUGAAAGACUUCGGCUAAACCGGGGGAGUCGUCUGAUACUGCGGAACUAGAGUAUGGUAGAGGCGUGUAGAAUUCCGGGUGUAGUGGUGAAAUGCGUAGAGAUCCGGAGGAAUCCGAGUGGCGAAGGCGGCACGCUGGGCCAUAACUGACGCUAAGACGCGAAAGCAUGGGUAGCGAAC
rnacentral:rRNA from 1 species